CAUCUAAAUGCCGAGUCAAAGACUCAGUUAUCUUCCAAAACCCUAUUAGGAUUACGAAUUCCUUUACAAAAUCUCAAAUUGUCCCGAGCCAACGACUACGAGAAAACGUUAAUGGAAGAAUUUGAUUCCUCCAUACGUAGAAGGGUAGAAGUAGUGCUUGCCCUUUUAGUUUAGUGAGUGGGGGGAGAAGAACAGUCUGUAGCGGAAAACAAAAGUGAAGUACUUUUUUGAGGGAAUCUUCAAUCUAGUGCUUUAUCUUUUUAUCUGUAAUUUUUUUUUUUUAUAGAUUUUCAUAUUUACUUCCACUAUAUGCUUAUGUUUACAGUGACAGGGAUAGUGUGGCAAUGGUGGGUACAAGAUACAGAGGAGUUUUCUUGUGCACUGUAAUACAUGGUGCUUCUUCCAUAUCAAAAACUGUCGACAAUAAAAUCUCAUAUCCGUUGGGGUUAUGGGUUACUAUUCUCAGCUCGUCUGGGUUGGUGUUUUACUUGUUGCUGAUGCCUGGUUCAUUGGUGCUCAGCAAUUGAGUCAUUACCUUCAGGACAUAAGGCCACAUUGAGGUUUAGUACUCUGGGGUUCCUAGGCUGUGUAGAACACAGGAGGGAAAGUCUUUGGUUCUUAUCACUGUAUAGAUAACAUAGACUUGUGGAGCUUCCCCAAUUUUGACAACACAUGCUGUUUAUAAAGCCAAUUAUUUGAUUGUUUUUCAUUGUAAAUUCUUCAAAUAUUGUAUGUUUUCGUAUUCUUUCAUCUGUGUUAUAAGCAUGAUUUCUUUCUUUUCCUUUCAUUUACUAUAGUGUGGAGUGCAUACAUGUUUCCAUUUAAUUUAAUUGUGGUGUACUGUGGAAAAGAGGUCAUGGAUUAUGAAUUAGGAAUAUUAGUCUCUCAAAAUGGGUUGCGUUUGAAGCCUUUGAACUGGAGAAUCCAACAAAUGAUUCACUCCGUCAAUGAAAGGUUAGCAAAAUGUGUUCAAUGGAGAGCUGAGAACGUAUUUUCUGAGGCCAGCUCUUAUUCUGACAGAGUUACAUGAUGGACUGUUUAUAGAUGAAGGGAACCAUGGUUUGGCAACAACAAUCAGUUCAGACUUCUUGUGCAUUGAGAUGCCAAAAACCUCAGUCAGAUCCAAAUCCCCUGUCCGGACUCCUGGUGGCAGCUCCCAAUCAAAGCUGUGGAGAAGUUGAGCUAAAGCAAGCUCAACAGUGGCUGUUCCAAAUGUCAUGCCAGGACAGAUUCUUCUACCAGCCCCAAAAGGGUUCCCCCAUGAUUCUGGAUCCCUUCCAAUUGCCCAAGCAUUCACAAAAAUUCGGGUUUUAGCUGGAAUGUCAUACCCGUCAAUGGUAACAUCCUGCAUUGAUUCUCUGGGGACUAGUACUGGAACUGCUGGAUGCAAUCGAAAUAUUUCCUUGAUAACAGCUUUCAGCAAACAUGUCCUGGAACAAGUAGUUAGUGAUGACAGCAAACCUGAGAGUUUAUUUGAAGGGGAAAAGAACUGGACUUUUCUACUGACAUGCUUAUAUACAUCCUACUAGAUUGGAAUUCUAAGAGCUAGAAUUGCAGCAAUAGUGAUCACAGUAUGCUCAAUCAAUGUUAUGAGUUAAAUGGCAGGCAGCAGACUAGCUAAGAAGGCUGUACUCACCAGUAUGACAGCUUUAACAUUGUCCAUGAUUGAUUGAGAUGUUCAUCAAUGACUUGAUCGAAAAACCGAUCAAAUCGAUGGAAAGUUUCCAUGAGUUUUGAUUUCAUGCCUGUUAAGCUGUGCAUAAAUUCCAUUGAAGGAAAGAAAUCUCCCAAGCUAAAUCCUCCUAG